rnacentral:rRNA from 1 species
UACGUAGGGUGCAAGCGUUGUCCGGAAUUAUUGGGCGUAAAGAGCUCGUAGGCGGUUCGUCGCGUCGGCUGUGAAAACCCGGGGCUCAACUCCGGGCCUGCAGUCGAUACGGGCGGACUCGAGUUCGGCAGGGGAGACUGGAAUUCCUGGUGUAGCGGUGAAAUGCGCAGAUAUCAGGAGGAACACCGGUGGCGAAGGCGGGUCUCUGGGCCGAUACUGACGCUGAGGAGCGAAAGCGUGGGGAGCGAACAGG